rnacentral:rRNA from 1 species
AUUGAUUGGUGCUUGCAUCAUGAUUUACAUUUGAGUGAGUGGCGAACUGGUGAGUAACACGUGGGAAACCUGCCCAGAAGCGGGGGAUAACACCUGGAAACAGAUGCUAAUACCGCAUAACAACUUGGACCGCAUGGUCCGAGUUUGAAAGAUGGCUUCGGCUAUCACUUUUGGAUGGUCCCGCGGCGUAUUAGCUAGAUGGUGGGGUAACGGCUCACCAUGGCAAUGAUACGUAGCCGACCUGAGAGGGUAAUCGGCCACAUUGGGACUGAGACACGGCCCAAACUCCUACGGGAGGCAGCAGUAGGGAAUCUUCCACAAUGGACGAAAGUCUGAUGGAGCAACGCCGCGUGAGUGAAGAAGGGUUUCGGCUCGUAAAACUCUGUUGUUGAAGAAGAACAUAUCUGAGAGUAACUGUUCAGGUAUUGACGGUAUUUAACCAGAAAGCCACGGCUAACUACGUGCCAGCAGCCGCGGUAAUACGUAGGUGGCAAGCGUUGUCCGGAUUUAUUGGGCGUAAAGCGAGCGCAGGCGGUUUUUUAAGUCUGAUGUGAAAGCCUUCGGCUCAACCGAAGAAGUGCAUCGGAAACUGGGAAACUUGAGUGCAGAAGAGGACAGUGGAACUCCAUGUGUAGCGGUGAAAUGCGUAGAUAUAUGGAAGAACACCAGUGGCGAAGGCGGCUGUCUGGUCUGUAACUGACGCUGAGGCUCGAAAGUAUGGGUAGCAAACAGGAUUAGAUACCCUGGUAGUCCAUACCGUAAACGAUGAAUGCUAAGUGUUGGAGGGUUUCCGCCCUUCAGUGCUGCAGCUAACGCAUUAAGCAUUCCGCCUGGGGAGUACGGCCGCAAGGCUGAAACUCAAAGGAAUUGACGGGGGCCCGCACAAGCGGUGGAGCAUGUGGUUUAAUUCGAAGCUACGCGAAGAACCUUACCAGGUCUUGACAUACUAUGCAAAUCUAAGAGAUUAGACGUUCCCUUCGGGGACAUGGAUACAGGUGGUGCAUGGUUGUCGUCAGCUCGUGUCGUGAGAUGUUGGGUUAAGUCCCGCAACGAGCGCAACCCUUAUUAUCAGUUGCCAGCAUUAAGUUGGGCACUCUGGUGAGACUGCCGGUGACAAACCGGAGGAAGGUGGGGAUGACGUCAAAUCAUCAUGCCCCUUAUGACCUGGGCUACACACGUGCUACAAUGGAUGGUACAACGAGUUGCGAACUCGCGAGAGUAAGCUAAUCUCUUAAAGCCAUUCUCAGUUCGGAUUGUAGGCUGCAACUCGCCUACAUGAAGUCGGAAUCGCUAGUAAUCGCGGAUCAGCAUGCCGCGGUGAAUACGUUCCCGGGCCUUGUACACACCGCCCGUCACACCAUGAGAGUUUGUAACACCCAAAGUCGGUGGGGUA